ensembl:snRNA U6 U6 spliceosomal RNA
GUGCUCACUUUGGCAGCACAUAUAGAAUUGGAAUGAUACAGAGAAGAUUAGCAUGGCCCCUGUGCAAGGAUGACAUGCAAAUUUGUGAGGUGUUCCAUUUAAAA